rnacentral:lncRNA from 1 species
CCACUCCUCCCCUCUCUCUUUUUUCCUCUUCUUCCUCUCAUUCUCCUCCUCUCAAUGGUAGCAAAAAAAAACUCAGAUCUCCAUCCCAAUCCUUUUAUUUUCUCGAUUUUAACCAGAUCUGGGUUUGCAUGUCGUCGGGGAUGCCUCCGGCGAUAGGAAAAAAGGGUUGCCGCCGAUGACGGAUCCGCCGGUCGGAGAAGAGACGGACGAGGGGAGGUAAAAAAACUCAGUUUUUAUUUUGCCUGAUUUUGCUUGAAAAUUUGAUUAUUUGUUCAUCUUUAAUAGGAUUCCAGCAUUGAUGUUUAACAUAAAACCCUCGUUUAAGCUUGAUUUCUGCAUUAUGUUGUGAGUAGCUUUACAGUUCUUGAGUUCUUGGUGAAAAUGGUGUGAAAAUAAUGAUAAAUGGUUUUUAGUCUCUUGUUAAUGUAUUUCCAGCAACUUUUAUUUGUUUUAGGAUGUUUAUUUUACUGUUUAAUCCAUUGGUUGUUAAAAAGAAUCAUCUAUCUAGUUAGUUGUAAUGAAAACUCGAUUAGAAGAGGCUUUAAACGACAUAACAUAACAAACACAUCUGUGUGCGCGUGCUGAUAAUAUGAGUGAUAUGUGAACGAUCGGAAAUAGGGAUGUUUGUGAAUGGUAUACCUUUUGAUACGAGGCUUUUUGUCGUGUUUCAGAUGGCGGUGCCCUCCUCGUUUCCUAACUUUUGGGACGUAUAAACUUCCUCCUUUGGCGGCUUCUACGUGGGUGACGACAUAAGAGAUUUGUAAUUUUUUAUUUUUAGUGGUUUGUAAUAUUUAUUUUUUGGGACUUUGUGGGUUGAGGGUGUUUGUAUUGUUUUAGGGUUUUUAUGGGCGAAGUGGGGGGAGUCUCUGGGAAUUGUAAUAUUUUCCUUCUAGUGUCGCAAAGGUCGAUCAAAUCCGUCCUGAAAUUUCGAGAUAGCGUGCCUGAAAUUCGGCCAAAAGACCAUCAAAUGUCGCAAAGGUCGAUCUUCUUUGAAUUUCGAGAGAGUGGGCUUGGGGUCCAUCCGUUUUGGCCGUUCUAGUUAAGAAAUAGUUAAAUAAUAAUUAGCUUAGUACAAUAAACAUUGUAAGAAGUACAAUUUGAAGAUGCCCACUAAUCGCCAAU